rnacentral:rRNA from 1 species
AGUGAACGCUGGCGGUAGGCCUAACACAUGCAAGUCGAACGGCAGCACAGUAAGAGCUUGCUCUUACGGGUGGCGAGUGGCGGACGGGUGAGUAAUACAUCGGAAUCUACUUUUUCGUGGGGGCUAACGUAGGGAAACUUACGCUAAUACCGCAUACGACCUACGGGUGAAAGCAGGGGAUCUUCGGACCUUGCGCGAUUGAAUGAGCCGAUGUCGGAUUAGCUAGUUGGCGGGGGAAAGGCCCACCAAGGCGACGAUCCGUAGCUGGUCUGAGAGGAUGAUCCGCCACACUGGAACUGAGAAACGGUCCAGACUCCUACAGGAGGCAGCAGUGGGGAAUAUUGGGCAAGGGGGGCAAGCCUGAUCCAGCCAUACCGCGUGGGUGAAGAAGGCCUUCGGGUUGUAAAGCCCUUUUGUUGGGAAAGAAAAGCAGCAGGUUAAUACCCCGCUGUUCUGACGGUACCCAAAGAAUAAGCACCGGCUAACUUCGUG